UACCAGCACCCCGAGUGGUGGGGGCGAUUAUUGGGCCUAAAGCAUCCGUAGCCGGUUUUACAAGUCCUCCGUUAAAUCCAGCUGCUUAACAGAUGGGCUGCGGAGGAUACUAUAAGACUAGGAGGCAGGAGAGGCAAGCGGUACUCAGUGGGUAGGGGUAAAAUCCGUUGAUCCAUUGAAGACCACCAGUGGCGAAGGCGGCUUGCCAGAAUGCGCUCGACGGUGAGGGAUGAAAGCUGGGGGAGCAAACCGG
rnacentral:rRNA from 1 species